rnacentral:rRNA from 1 species
ACGAACGCUGGCGGCGUGCCUAAUACAUGCAAGUCGAACGCUUCUUUUUCCACCGGAGCUUGCUCCACCGGAAAAAGAGGAGUGGCGAACGGGUGAGUAACACGUGGGUAACCUGCCCAUCAGAAGGGGAUAACACUUGGAAACAGGUGCUAAUACCGUAUAACAAUCGAAACCGCAUGGUUUUGAUUUGAAAGGCGCUUUCGGGUGUCGCUGAUGGAUGGACCCGCGGUGCAUUAGCUAGUUGGUGAGGUAACGGCUCACCAAGGCGACGAUGCAUAGCCGACCUGAGAGGGUGAUCGGCCACAUUGGGACUGAGACACGGCCCAAACUCCUACGGGAGGCAGCAGUAGGGAAUCUUCGGCAAUGGACGAAAGUCUGACCGAGCAACGCCGCGUGAGUGAAGAAGGUUUUCGGAUCGUAAAACUCUGUUGUUAGAGAAGAACAAGGAUGAGAGUAACUGUUCAUCCCUUGACGGUAUCUAACCAGAAAGCCACGGCUAACUACGUGCCAGCAGCCGCGGUAAUACGUAGGUGGCAAGCGUUGUCCGGAUUUAUUGGGCGUAAAGCGAGCGCAGGCGGUUUCUUAAGUCUGAUGUGAAAGCCCCCGGCUCAACCGGGGAGGGUCAUUGGAAACUGGGAGACUUGAGUGCAGAAGAGGAGAGUGGAAUUCCAUGUGUAGCGGUGAAAUGCGUAGAUAUAUGGAGGAACACCAGUGGCGAAGGCGGCUCUCUGGUCUGUAACUGACGCUGAGGCUCGAAAGCGUGGGGAGCAAACAGGAUUAGAUACCCUGGUAGUCCACGCCGUAAACGAUGAGUGCUAAGUGUUGGAGGGUUUCCGCCCUUCAGUGCUGCAGCUAACGCAUUAAGCACUCCGCCUGGGGAGUACGACCGCAAGGUUGAAACUCAAAGGAAUUGACGGGGGCCCGCACAAGCGGUGGAGCAUGUGGUUUAAUUCGAAGCAACGCGAAGAACCUUACCAGGUCUUGACAUCCUUUGACCACUCUAGAGAUAGAGCUUCCCCUUCGGGGGCAAAGUGACAGGUGGUGCAUGGUUGUCGUCAGCUCGUGUCGUGAGAUGUUGGGUUAAGUCCCGCAACGAGCGCAACCCUUGCUAUUAGUUGCUACGCAAGAGCACUCUAAUAGGACUGCCGUUGACAAAACGGAGGAAGGUGGGGAUGACGUCAAAUCAUCAUGCCCCUUAUGACCUGGGCUACACACGUGCUACAAUGGGAAGUACAACGAGUCGCAAAGUCGCGAGGCUAAGCUAAUCUCUUAAAGCUUCUCUCAGUUCGGAUUGUAGGCUGCAACUCGCCUACAUGAAGCCGGAAUCGCUAGUAAUCGCGGAUCAGCACGCCGCGGUGAAUACGUUCCCGGGCCUUGUACACACCGCCCGUCACACCACGAGAGUUUGUAACACCCGAAGUCGGUGAGGUAACCUUUUGGAGCCAGCCGCCUAAGGUGGGAUAGAUGAUUGGGGUG